rnacentral:piRNA from 1 species
UGUCAAAGUGAUAUGGAUGUGCCAGGCCAU